GCUAAACGCGAAGAACCUUACCAGCCCUUGACAUGCCAGGACGACUUCCAGAGAUGGAUUUCUUCACUUCGGUGACCUGGACACAGGUGCUGCAUGGCUGUCGUCAGCUCGUGUCGUGAGAUGUUCGGUUAAGUCCGGCAACGAGCGCAACCCACACCCCCAGUUGCCAUCAUUCGGUUGGGCACUCUGGGGGAACUGCCCGUGAUAAGCGGGAGGAAGGUGUGGAUGACGUCAAGUCCUCAUGGCCCUUACGGGUUGGGCUACACACGUGCUACAAUGGUGGUGACAACGGGUUAAUCCCCAAAAGCCAUCUCAGUUCGGAUUGUCGUCUGCAACUCGACGGCAUGAAGUCGGAAUCGCUAGUAAUCGCGGAACAGCAUGCCGCGGUGAAUACGUUCCCGGGUCUUGUACACACCG
rnacentral:rRNA from 1 species